AGGAUAAACGCUGGCGGCGUGCCUAACACAUGCAAGUCGAACGCGCUUUCGGGCUUCGGUGCGAGAGCGAGUGGCGGACGGGUGAGUAACACAUGGGUACCUACCUUGGAGUGAGGGAUACCGGCGAGAAAUCGCCGACAAUACCGCAUAGGCUUCUUCACAAGGGAAGCAAAGUGACGCGAGUCACGCUUUGAGAUGGGCCUGUGGCCGAUUAGCUAGUUGGGGGGGUAACGGCUUCCCAAGGCGACGAUCGGUAGCUGGUCUGAGAGGACGAUCAGCCACACUGGGAUUGAGAACGGCCCAGACUCCCACGGGGGGCAGCAGUGAGGAAUUUUCCGCAAUGGAGGCAACUCUGACGGAGCAACGCCGCGUGCAGGAGGAAGGUUUUCGGAUCGUAAACUGCUUUUCUCGGGGACGAGCAAGGACGGUACCCGAGGAAGAAGCCCCGGCUAACUACGUGCCAGCAGCCGC
rnacentral:rRNA from 1 species